rnacentral:rRNA from 1 species
UACGGAGGGUGCGAGCGUUGUCCGGAUUUAUUGGGUUUAAAGGGUGCGUAGGUGGCUUGUUAAGUCAGUGGUGAAAUACAGCCGCUCAACGGUUGAGGUGCCAUUGAUACUGACAAGCUUGAAACAAGUGGAGGUUGCCGGAAUGGAUGGUGUAGCGGUGAAAUGCAUAGAUAUCAUCCAGAACACCGAUUGCGAAGGCAGGUGACUACGUUUGAUUUGACACUGAGGCACGAAAAGCAUGGGGAGCAAACAGG